rnacentral:sRNA from 1 species
AGAAGUCAAAAUGGACACAAUCUCCUUGUGGAGUCUUCUAUUGCUGUUUUUUGGAAGUCAAGCCUCAAGAUGCUCAGCUCAAAAAAAUACCGAAUUUGCAGUGGAUCUUUAUCAAGAGGUUUCCUUAUCUCAUAAGGACAACAUUAUAUUUUCACCCCUUGGAAUAACUUUGGUUCUUGAGAUGGUACAACUGGGAGCCAAAGGAAAAGCACAGCAGCAGAUAAGACAAACUUUAAAACAACAGGAAACCUCAGCUGGGUUUUGAAAAGAGAACUGGGCAUGAAUUCCUGUCCCAGUUCUGCAACUAAAUGACCUUGUGAUUUGGCACAAGUCAUGUCACUUGUGAAGCUUCUUAAUCUCUCUGGGCCUCAGAUUCCUCACUGUAAAAAGAAGAGUUGAGGUUAGGUAAUUUAUUUGGACCUUUUGGCUGAAAUAAUCUAUAAUUCUAUGACUAGGUUUGUUUUCAUCUUUGGAUCUCCCAUAUGCACACAAAAUUGGCUUUUAGACUUUUACUAGCAGAAGAGAACAUGCACUGAAUUUUAGAACAUUUUCUGGAGGUCUGGUACAAUCAAAUCAAGAGC